UGUGGCUCAGUAGUAGAGUUCUUGCCUUUCAUGCAUGAGGUCCUGGGUUUGAUCCCCAGCA
rnacentral:tRNA from 1 species